rnacentral:rRNA from 1 species
CGCGUAGGCGGCCUCGUCAGUCCGGUGUGAAAGCCCGGGGCUCAACCCCGGAAGGGCACUGGAUACUGCGGGGCUUGAGUUCGGAAGAGGAGGGCAGAAUUCCCGGUGUAGGGGUGAAAUCCGUAGAUAUCGGGAGGAAAACCAGUGGCGAAGGCGGCCCUCUGGGACGAAACUGACGCUGAGGCGCGAAAGCGUGGGGAGCAAACA